UACGUAGGGUCCGAGCGUUGUCCGGAAUUAUUGGGCGUAAAGGGCUCGUAGGCGGUCUGUUGCGUCGGGAGUGAAAACUUACAGCUUAACUGUGAGCGUGCUUCCGAUACGGGCAGACUUGAGGUAUUCAGGGGAGAACGGAAUUCCUGGUGUAGCGGUGAAAUGCGCAGAUAUCAGGAGGAACACCGGUGGCGAAGGCGGGGUCUCUGGGCCGAUACUGACGCUGAGGAGCGAAAGCGUGGGGAGCGAACAGG
rnacentral:rRNA from 1 species